GGAAAACAUAAACAGAGGCUCAUGACAUCAGGUUUCAGCGGAGUUCCUGCUACAGAACCAUACACUUUAUUUGUGCAUCUGUCUCAUUGGGAAAUCCAAAUUUAAGAACUAAAUCACAAGAUUAGCAAAGCUUUUUAAGAAACUAUAUGCCACUGAAUGAAAAAGUACAUGCUCUGAUUGCUCGCUGUGACAGCCCCUGCCACGCUCGCCCACUCCACUGCGCCCAAAGGGUAGCUGACAUAGAUGUAUGUAUGCCGCAAAGUGGGGUUUACAGGUUUGCUUCAGUAACUAAAUAUUGCUUGGACUUUGAAGUGGAGUUUCACAAACAGAAAUUUAGCACACUCUAUACAUGUAGCGCUCAAGUGUAACAGUUCAUGUUUCAUGCUUUUAACUCUAUGGAUAACUAUCAUCUUCCCUGAGGCAACAGCUCCAGAUCAUUAACACAAGCAGCUUUCCUAAGUAAGCACUAAACAGUUUUUAAAAUGCCAAUAUAUCAAAAUCAGAAAACAGUAGGAGAUCCCUUCAUUAAUAGAAGAAGUAAGGAAGGUGUUAAUAGGAUAAAAUAAGAAAACCAAUUGUCCAAUUUUUAUGGUGUUCUAGUGUCUGUUGGCAGAGGAAGGAGACAAAUUAUGGUGAUUUUAGAAUGUAACCUUCCCUUCUGUAGCUUAAGGGCAUAACUACUCAGCAUUCCUCAAUUUGUAACUUUAUAAUUAAUUUAUAAAAAACACUUUUUGCAGAACACCUUUUAAGGCUACUAACUACACAGAUAAAAAGCCUGCUUGAAAUUCUGUUGCUUCUGCAAGCAUUUAUCUUCUUAUUUUACAGCAGCCUAGAAAGAGUGUGUUACACCUGUGAUUUCCAAUAGUUUACAACCUCUUCAGGAAGCAGAAGCUGCCAUUCUCUCAAAAGCUGCCUUUCCCUCCAAGUCUCCACACAGAAAUCUUUGGCAAAGCCACCCCAGCACAUAGGACUCUCAGCACAGCUGGUAGGUUCUGACAAGGAGGUGCUCCAUGAUCAGGCAGAUGUGGAACUCAAGCACAUCUGGCCUGCCACUGUGGUCACCCUGGGACAUGAUAGUUAUGAUUUGUCAGAGUUGGUUGAAUACUGUAACUGGGUCAUCCAUGACACGGGAGUAAGCCCAUGAAAUUAAAAUAGCAUCUAUCGGAUUUACAGAUGGGCUGGUUGGGUACUGCUUUCUGCUGACAAAAUAGACUGACAACGUGGACAGGGCACCUCCUACACUUCUACAGGAAUGAAAUUAGGUGUGUAAGGGGCUACACUCGGGAUUGCCCAAAACCCCCUCACUGGUAGCUGACUGCACUGUUUUUUGUUUUUUUAUUAUUAUUAUUUUAAUAGGUAGCAUUAGAUGAGUUCGAUCCAUUCACAACCCAGCAGGCUGAAAAGCAGCCUAGCUGCAGGGUAGCACAGAGAAGGUUACUGGGUAACUACUUACAUCUUCACCUAAUGUCUUGAGUGUUUUGCAAACUGCUCAGGUGCUCAGUAAAGCUUUACUGCUAAGCAAGCGUAAGCCUUCUGAUAUAAAACUGCACAAGUUACACUGAGACAUUUCAACCACGGAUAGGUAGGUAUACACAGUAGCUAAAGCGCUCAGCAUAUCUCCUGGAAACACUAAAGAUAGCUAGAUCAGGUAAGUUUACCAUGAGUUUAAAAAUUCCUGAAUAUUCUUAGAAAAAGAACAAACUGUAUCACACAAACCUCCCCCCUCCCCCGAACUAUCUUCAGGCGCAGACCACAAUUAUUGUAACAAAAGCCUAGAAUUACAAGUUCUAGCUAACAUUUACCUUGAUGAUACUUUGCAGGUCAGAUCUUUCCUGCAAGCAUUAGACAUUAAGCACCAGCAGAUGACCUUGUAGCUACAUGAUCAAGCUUGUCAGCUAGUCAGUCCUGAGUGGAUUUAGGCCACCCUGAUCGAUUAUCUUCUGUGAAACACUGAGAAGGAGCAGAACUCAUACACUGAGGGAGGCAGGAUCUCUGCUUACCUCCAGUCAGACCCAGACGUUGGUGCAGCCUCUCACAAGGUCAUGGAUUACAUUUAUUGACUAUGGGAGUAUGAUAAAUAGAACUUUUGCUCUCUCACUUGCAUGGAAGGUAUUGCCUAGUGUGACUGCUGUUCUGCCUAGUGAUUUCCUGAAGGAUUUUGAAGUACCAGGAAAUUCUGUUGAAAUGAAGGUCUACUUCAGCCACACAUGUAGAAGACAGAGGUGGCGGCAGGUUAACUAAAAAAGCAUAGGUCUCAAAGUCACCCUCUUAUUCAAAGUUCCCUUUUGCUUUUUUCAAAAUAUAAGUGACCAAGACAGUAUCGAGUAACUACCAAGGAGCAAGAUAAAAUAGUUAUUCACUGUGAAUUACCACUAUCUUAAAGGGAUUUAUUUUGACAAACAUAACCACGUGUGAGAAAAGUGAAAAGUAAAUGCUUCAUUUUGCCUUGCCUAGCUCCAGUAAUGCCCAAACCAGUUUUGGAAGUCCUGAAAGUGUGUUGUUUUAAAUAAACCAAAGAAUUCUGCUAUGGAAAAAAAAAAUAAGGUAUACGUUUUUAUGUUACGUUUAUAACAAGGCUUUUAAAGAAAAUAGUUACAGGUAUUCAACUGCAUCAGACUUCAAAAGAAGAAAGAUUACACAUACAAUACAAAAAUACAAAAAAAUAUUUUUUUAGAACUUACAAACUCAAAAGUCUAAGUGGUCAGAGCUUUCCUAAAAUAAUGAAAAUAAAAAUACACAUCAAGAUGCACUUUCCUUUCUGCACUUGCACGUUCAGCUUUAACAUGAAAAAAGGUUUCAGAAGCAGGAUGAAAACAAUUAAUGUACUGAAUUCUAUGACCAGUUCCAGGCUGAAAUUAAUUUAGUGGCUGACACUAUCAGGUAUUUUGAGUUUAAAAAGAGUGGUAUGUUUGUUUAGGGGGGUGGGGGGUGGUGUGUGGCGGGGUGGAGUUGCUGUUUACAACUUUCUGUUUAACCAGUUCUGAUAGUAAAAGGUUUUAAAACUAUGCAAUCUAAAUUAGACUGAAAUUUAGGCAGUCAUUACUAGGUCUGAAAUCCUACAGAACUGUUCCACAGUAAGAAAGCUCGGAAGUUAAACUGACCACAUAGUUUAAUUAGUUCAACAAUGACAUUAAUUGUUGAAAAUCACUGCAAAAGGCAGACAGGUAGGAAAAGGUCAAGUUUAAUUCUGAAAUUGACACUUGUUAGAAGAAUUAGGACUGCAAAUACAGCAUUCUUUAACCUGAUAGCAUCCAUUGAGGUCACAGGCAUCAAGGCAUUUUGUUUUAAAUGGCAAGACAGGGAAAGUGCAUCUUGGAUUUUUCAUACUUAAGCAGUGAGUUACUGAUUUUUGGUGUGGCUUUUAUUCCUUCUAGGCAUAGUAAAGAAAAAUCUUUCAACCAAAUGUGAAGCUUAAUGUACAUUAGCUUGUCUUUUUGGUGGUGGCUUUUGUGUACUGCAAGGAAAUGCUAACAAGCACUACUCAAGACUAAUGAUUUAAGAGGAGCACACUGAAAAUACUGAUUUACCUUUGUAGUGAAUAUUCUUUACAGACUGUAUCUAAUAUACAGACAAGGCCUAUUUCCUUAGGAUGAAACAGGCCACAGAAGGUUACACAUCCUACAUGAAGUUUUAAACAAAAUUAGAGCUAAGUUACCAGAGCCACUCAGAGCAACAUAAUGCCUAGUUUGCAGAGACUUAACAAAAGGUGACUGCAGGGAGAAAAAAAA